rnacentral:rRNA from 1 species
AAGCGCUCAUGACCAGACUUGGGCUUGGUUGAUCAUCCAGGGUUCUCCCUGGUGCACUCUUCCAGCCCAGGCCAGCAUCAGUUCGCUGUGGGGGAAAAAGGCUUUGGGAACGUAGCUCCUCGGAGUGUUAAAGCCCUUUGCACAAUACCCUGGGCCGGACUGAGGACCGCGCAUCUGCAAGGAUGCUGGCGUAAUGGUCAUCAGCGA